AGCAGGAUAUGGUGUAAAUAAUUCAGUUGGUAAAGAAUGAAUUACAAAACAAGAAACGAACAAAUAGGAGGGUGAAGGGGAGGUAGGGACGAAGGGUAGAGAGGCAGAGAAAACGUUAGAUUCAGUCAGAAGGAAAGCUGAAAACGACUGGACAGGUUUAGUCAGAGAUCAGAAAAAAGCCUCUGACUCUAUCAUUAGCACUGCGACCCCUCGGCUGAAUACAGGAGAUAAGGUGCUAAAGCCUACGGUAGAAGAAUAACAGUUUUAAGCACAGUCAGGAUGGCAUGAAGAUGAAGUAUUAUUUAAUGGAAGAGUGUUUAUUUGGAUAUAUUUGCACACACAGCCACCAACGUGGAGAAACUCCAGGGUUGAUAUGGCUGGAGAAGAUUCACAGACUGGCAUUAGUGGAGUUUUAUGGUACUGGGGUGUGCUUGUUAUACUUGACUGUAUCUGCAGAUGUAUUUCCAGGCUACUGAAAAUGUUUUCACACUGCACAAAAUACAGAUGGGGACACAAAAAAAAACUGUCACUGUCAUUUUAUCAUAAGAAUUAAUUUAAAGAUCGCAAGUUUGCAUUAUUCUGAGUGUCCCCACAAGAAAAACAUCCUUAAAGCUGGUUGUUACUAUUGUACAGUAUAUAAAACAAUGAAAUCUGAGUGUAUCUGUGUUCAUGUGCAGCAAUGUAGUUCAGGACACAUUAUUCCCAAAUAAACUCCUUCACGGUCAUUGUUACUGCUUCACUUUAUGGUUCAUGAGAAGCUCGCGACACAAAUUGUGCUACGACAUUUAGACAUUCUGAAUGUGGGGAUGAAUCAGUGUCGAACCAGGAGCUCGUUGCAUAGCUUUAUGCACAUGGUCCACUCUGAAGACAAGCCACAACAUGGAACUAGCCGACACAACUUCACACGAACAGGACUAGGACCCACUGAAACCACAAAACUGUAAACAGGCGCAGCACUGAACCAUGAGGUAACGAACAGCGGGCAGAGGGAGGGAGUGUCUGACAAUCAAAAAAAAAAAAAAAAAGAACCAAAAGAAAACUCAAAGGAUUACCCCAAAAAAUAAAAAC